UAAUACGUAGGAGGCUAGCGUUAUCCGGAUUUACUGGGCGUAAAGAGGGUGCAGGCGGUUCUUCAAGUCGGAUGUAAAAUCUCCCGGCUUAACUGGGAGGGAUCGUUCGAUACUGUUGGGCUAGAGGGCAGCAAAGGGAGGUGGAAUUCCCGGUGUAGUGGUGAAAUGCGUAGAUAUCGGGAGGAACACCAGUGGCGAAGGCGGCCUCCUGGGCUGUUGCUGACGCUGAGGCCCGAAAGCGUGGGGAGCGAACAGGAUUAGAUACCCUGGUAGUCCACGCCAUAAACUAUGGACACUAGGUAUAGGGAGUAUCGACCCUUUCUGUGCCGAAGCUAACGCUUUAAGUGUCCCGCCUGGGAACUACGGCCGCAAGGCUA
rnacentral:rRNA from 1 species